ACUCCUACGGGAGGCAGCAGUGGGGAAUAUUGGACAAUGGGCGCAAGCCUGAUCCAGCCAUGCCGCGUGAGUGAUGAAGGCCCUAGGGUUGUAAAGCUCUUUUGUGCGGGAAGAUAAUGACGGUACCGCAAGAAUAAGCCCCGGCUAACUUCGUGCCAGCAGCCGCGGUAAUACGAAGGGGGCUAGCGUUGCUCGGAAUCACUGGGCGUAAAGGGUGCGUAGGCGGGUCUUUAAGUCAGGGGUGAAAUCCUGGAGCUCAACUCCAGAACUGCCUUUGAUACUGAAGAUCUUGAGUUCGGGAGAGGUGAGUGGAACUGCGAGUGUAGAGGUGAAAUUCGUAGAUAUUCGCAAGAACACCAGUGGCGAAGGCGGCUCACUGGCCCGAUACUGACGCUGAGGCACGAAAGCGUGGGGAGCAAACAGGAUUAGAAACCCCUGUAGUCCCA
rnacentral:rRNA from 1 species